rnacentral:rRNA from 1 species
UACGGAGGGGGCUAGCGUUGUUCGGAAUUACUGGGCGUAAAGCGCACGUAGGCGGCUUUGUAAGUUAGAGGUGAAAGCCCGGGGCUCAACUCCGGAAUUGCCUUUAAAACUGCAUCGCUAGAAUUGUGGAGAGGUGAGUGGAAUUCCGAGUGUAGAGGUGAAAUUCGUAGAUAUUCGGAAGAACACCAGUGGCGAAGGCGACUCACUGGACACAUAUUGACGCUGAGGUGCGAAAGCGUGGGGGGCAAACAGG